ACUUCUUCACGCGGAAUAUGUCCGCGGUGUGCGCGUUCGCGGUCGGCGGCGCGUACGCCCCAGGCUCCGGGUUCAUCGUCAUCGGCGCGCACACGGACUCGCCGUGCCCCAAGCUGAAGCCGCAGACGAAGUUGACGAGCGCGGACUUCCUUCAGGCGCGUUCUGUCUGUUGCUAUCACACUGGUCCCCAUACGACCGCGUUGGCGUGAUGACCGCCGUUCCUUAAGGACUUUCUCUCCCGGCGCGCGCAUCUCUCCGCCCAGGGUCCCUCGCUUUCGAUCCCCGACCGAGACGCCUUUUGACUCCGACUGAUGACUGACUGACGACGCCUUUCGACUCCACCCCGACGUACGUCGCUUCGCUUCGCCUCGCGCGGAACGACCCUCAGGUCCGGACGCAAAACUACGGCGGCGGGCUGUGGUACACGUGGUUCGAUCGCGACCUGGGCGUCGCCGGGCGCGUGCUGGUGCGCGAGAAGGGCGGCGCCGCGCGGCACGCGGUCGUCAAAGUGGACCGACCCGUGAUGCGCAUCCCUUCGCUCGCGAUCCACCUCGACCGGUGCGUCCUCCUCACACUGGUCCCCAUACGACCGCGUUCGCGUGGUGAACGCCGAUCCUUAAGGACUUUCUCUCCCGGCGUGUAUUUAUCUCCGCCCAGGGUCCCUCGCUUUCAAUCCCGACGCGCCUCGACGCCUUUCGACUCCGACUGACUGACGACGCCUUUGAACUCCGCCCCGACGUUCGCGAUGAAAUAGGUCCCUGAACGAGGGGUUCAAGGUGAACUUCCAGAGCCACAUGGCGCCGGUGAUCGCGAGCGCGGUCGAGGAGGCGUUAGGACACGGCGGCGGCGGCGCGACGGUUGACGAUUCAUCUUCCCCCGCGGCGAAGAAGGCGAAGGGCGAAAAGCACCACCCGGUUCUCCUCGACCUCCUGGCGGACGAGCUCGAGUGCGACGCGGACGACAUCCUGGACUUCGAGCUGCAGCUGUGCGACGUCCAGCCGUCCGCGAUCGGCGGCGCGCGAAAAGAGUUCAUAUUCUCCGGCCGCCUCGACAACCUCGUCUCGUGCUUCGCGUCGCUCCGAGCGUUGAUCGACGCCAGCGGCGACGCGAAAUCGUCGUCGCUGCGAACUGAGGCGCGUUCUAUACACUGGUCCCCAUACGACCGCGUUGGCGUGGUGAACGCCGAUCCUUAAGGACUUUGCCCGUCGUCUCUCUCCGCCCAGGGUCCCUCGCGUUCAAUCCCCACCCUCGACGCCUUUCAACGCCAACUGACGCCUUUGAACACCACCCCGACGUUCGCUCGUACGGAACGACCCUCAGAUGGGCGUGCGGAUGAUGGUGCACUACGACCACGAGGAGGUCGGCAGCGACAGCGCGCAGGGCGCGGGGUCGUCCAUGACCGAGGACGCGAUGCGUCGCAUCACGACGUCGCUCUCCGCGGGAAUGGCAGCGGGCCCCGGUGAAGAAGGCGUGGAGGAACGCGCGCGUCGAAAAUCCUUCGUCGUCUCCGCGGAUAUGGCGCACGCGGUGCACCCCAACUACGCGGACAAGCACGAACCCGGGCACAAGCCAAAGUUCGGCGCGGGCGUCGUCGUGAAGCACAACGCGAACCAGCGGUACGCCACCGACGCCGUGAGCUCGUACUUGUUCAAAGAGAUCGGCGAGAGGGCCGGGCUGCCCGUGCAAGAGUUUGUCGUUCGCAGCGACCUCGGGUGCGGAUCCACGAUCGGCCCGACGCUGUCCACGAAC
rnacentral:lncRNA from 1 species